rnacentral:rRNA from 1 species
UACGUAGGGGGCUAGCGUUGUCCGGAUUUAUUGGGCGUAAAGAGCGUGUAGGCGGCCAGGUAGGUCUGCUGUGAAAACUCGAGGCUCAACCUCGAGACGUCGGCGGAAACCAUCUGGCUAGAGUCCGGAAGAGGAGAGUGGAAUUCCUGGUGUAGCGGUGAAAUGCGCAGAUAUCAGGAGGAACACCGGUGGCGAAGGCGGAUCUCUGGGCCUACCUGACGCUCAGGCGCGAAAGCUAGGGGAGCGAACAGG